CAACGGGGUACAUGUGCUUCAUCCCAAUGGCUGUCACAGUCACAAGCACCGCAAGCAACACAAUUACUUAUUAAAUUCUUAAAGAAUUUGGUAGAUUUGCUAUAUUGUUAAGAGCAUGAUGCAUUUAUAGUAAUUUAUGGUAGUCUGGUAGUUUGUUAAAUUCUUAAAGACUUAACUGAUUUGGUGGCUUAAUAGUUUUUUAAAUUGUUACCGACAUAAUUCAUUUGGUGGUUUGAUGGUUUGAUCGUUUGUUAAAUAAUUAAUAGUUAAUGACUUAAUGUGCUUGUGAAUUAAUUGUAGGAUGUUGAUGUGAAUGCUUUUCUUCAAAACUCGGCGUUUGUGACAACCAUUGGAGACAUUAUCUGCUUGUUUAAAAGCCACGUCAAUAAUGAAGAAAAGAACGAUGACGAAGACGCAUACACAUAGUAUUUCUUGUUUUGACUCUUUGUGGAUGGUGUUAUUUUGGAUUUAUUAGAUAGUUUAUGGAUGAUAUAUUAGAUGUGUAUUUGGGAUAUAUUAGAUAGUUUAUGUAAUAUGAUAUAUUUGAUGUUUUAUGUAAUGUGGUAUGUAUUUUUAUUAAAGAUGCAUUUUAUAAUAUAUAAAAACCAAUAUCAUAAAUAAAUUAUUUUUUUCAAAAAAAAAAAAAUAAUUAAAACCAUUAGCAGCCACAUAUUUAGGGACGACAAUGAUUCAAUUGUGAUGACAACCGGUUCCGGGAAGUGUAGCCGGAGAAACUCUGACUGGUGGCCGGAAUACCAAUAGAGACGACACCAACAACAACGAGAUUAACCAUUUAGCAACAACGUAUAUCAGAGGCGACACUAUUUGCGACGACAAAAGAGUAUUAGCUACGAGGUAAUAGCGACAACAUGUCGUCGCUAAAGGUAUUAGCGACGUCCAGGGGCAUCAAUUGCGAUGCUUUUUGUCAUCGCUAAAGGUUAUGUUUUUUGUUAUGCAACAACUAUGUAUUUCUAUUACACAACACACAUCUUGAGACACAUAGUUAAAUUACCCCUCACAUUUAUAAUAAAAAAUUGAAAAUGCAUAAUAGAAUUUGGAAUAAGUUUCAUUUAUUGGAAGGCUAUUUCUUGUGUUUAGUACAAACAACAAUGCCAAAGCCUCGUGAAAUAUAUAAUGCUUUAGUUGCUGAGGUUGCUCUACAAACUCAUCACAUAGCCGACUCUGGUGGUGAUCCAGACACCAUUUAUUGGAUCGCAAUAUUUAAGAAGGUGUUGGGUACUCGUAGGGGGCAUGUGAGAGGCUUUGAGCCUAAAACUUCUUCAGCAACGGGUACACGUGCUUCAUCCUAAUGGCGGUCACAGUCACAAGCACCGCAAGAACCACAACUACUUGUUAAAUUCUUAAAGAAUUUGGUAGCUUUGCUAUAUUGUUAAGAGCAUUAUGCAUUUAUAAUAAUUUAUGGUAGUUAGUUAGUUUGGUAGUUUGUUAAAUUCUUAAAGACUUAACUGAUUUGGUGGCUUAGUAGUUUUUUAAAUUGUUACCGACAUAAUUCAUUUGGUGGUUUGAUGGUUUGAUCGUUUGUUAAAUAAUUAAUAGUUAAUGACUUAAUGUGCUUGUGAAUUAAUUGUAGGAUGUUGAUGUGAACGCUUUUCUUCAAAACUCGGCGUUUGUGACAACCAUUGGAGACAUUAUCUGCUUGUUUAAAAGCCACGUCAAUAAUGAAGAAAAGAACGAUGACGAAGACGCAUACACAUAGUAUUUCUUGUUUUGACUCUUUGUGGAUGGUGUUAUUUUUGAUUUAUUAGAUGGUUUAUGGAUGAUAUAUUAGAUGUGUAUUUGGGAUAUAUUAGAUAGUUUAUGUAAUAUGAUAUAUUUGAUGUUUUAUGUAAUGUGGUAUGUAUUUUUAUUAAAGAUGCAUUUUAUAAUAUAUAAAAACCAAUAUCAUAAAAAAUUAUUAUUUUCCAAAUAAAAAACCAUUAGCAGCCACAUAUUUAGGGACGACAAUGAUCCAAUUGUGAUGACAACCGGUUCCGGGAAGUGUAGCCGGAGAAACUCUGACCGGUGGCCGGAAUACCAAUAGAGACGACACCAACAACAACGAGAUUAACCAUUUAGCAACAACGUAUAUCAGAGGCGACACUAUUUGCGACGACAAAAGAGUAUUAGCUACGAGGUAAUAGCGACAACAUGUCGUCGCUAAAGGUAUUAGCGACGUCCAGGGGCAUCAAUUGCGAUGCUUUUUGUCGUCGCUAAAGGUUACGUUUUUUGUUAUGCAACAACUAUGUCUUUCUAUUACACAACACACAUCUUGAGACACAUAGUUAAAUUACCCCUCACAUUUAUAAUAAAAAAUUGAAAAUGCAUAAUAGAAUUUGGAAUAAGUUUCAUUUAUUGGAAGGCUGUUUGUUGUGUUUAGUACAAACAACAAUGCCUAAUCCUUGUGAAAUAUAGAAUACCUUAGUUGUUGAGGUUGCUCUACAAACUCAUCACAUAGCCGACUCCGGUGGUGAUCCAGACACCAUUUAUUGGAUCGCAAUAUUUAACAAGGUGUUGGGUACUCGUAGGGGGCAUGUGAGAGACAUUGAGCCUAAACCUUCUUCAGCAACGGGUAAACGUGCUUCAUCCCAAUGGCAGUCACAGUCACAAGCACCGAAAGCAACACAAUUACUUGUUAAAUUCCUAAAGAAUUUGGUAGAUUUGCUAUAUUGUUAAGAGCAUGAUGCAUUUAUAGUAAUUUAUGGUAGUUUGGUAGUUUGUUAAAUUCUUAAAGCCUUAACUGAUUUGGUGGCUUAAUAGUUUUUUUAAUUGUUACCGACAUAAUUCAUUUGGUGGUUUGACGGUUUCAUAGUUUGUUAAAUACUUAAUAGUUAAUUACUUAAUAUGCUUGUGAAUUAGUUGUAGGAUGUUGAUGUGAAUGCUUUUCUUCAAAACCCGGCAUUUGUGACAACCAUUGGAGACAUUAUCUGCUUGUUUAAAAAGCCACGUCAAUAAUGAAGAAAAGGACGAUGACGCAGACGCAGACACAUAGUAUUUCUUGUUUUGACCCUUUGUGGAUGGUGUUAUUUUGGAUUUAUUAGAUAGUUUAUGGAUGAUAUAUUAGAUGUGUAUUGGGGAUAUAUUAGAUAGUUUAUGUAAUAUGAUAUAUUUGAUGUUUUAUGUAAUGUGGUAUGUAUUUUUAUUAAAGAUGCAUUUUAUAAUAUAUAAAAACCAAUAUCAUAAAUAAAUUAUUAUUUUCCAAAUAAAAAACCAUUAGCAGCCACAUAUUUAGGGACGACAAUGAUCCAAUUGUGAUGACAACCGGUUCCGGGAAGUGUAGCCGGAGAAACUCUGACUGGUGGCCGGAAUACCAAUAGAGACGACACCAACAACAACGAGAUUAACCAUUUAGCAACAACGUAUAUCAGAGGCGACACUAUUUCCGACGACAAAAGAGUAUUAGCUACGAGGUAAUAGCGACAACAUGUCGUCGCUAAAGGUAUUAGCGACGUCCAGGGGCAUCAAUUGCGAUGCUUUUUGUCAUCGCUAAAGGUUAUGUUUUUUGUUAUGCAACAACUAUGUAUUUCUAUUACACAACACACAUCUUGAGACACAUAGUUAAAUUACCCCUCACAUUUAUAAUAAAAAAUUGAAAAUGCAUAAUAGAAUUUGGAAUAAGUUUCAUUUAUUGGAAGGCUAUUUCUUGUGUUUAGUACAAACAACAAUGCCAAAGCCUCGUGAAAUAUAUAAUGCUUUAGUUGCUGAGGUUGCUCUACAAACUCAUCACAUAGCCGACUCCGGUGGUGAUCCAGACACCAUUUAUUGGAUCGCAAUAUUUAACAAAGUGUUGGGUACUCGUAGGGGGCAUGUGAGAGAUAUUGAGCCUAAACCUUCUUCAGCAACGGGUACAUGUGCUUCAUCCCAAUGGCUGUCACAGUCACAAGCACUGCAAGAAACACAAUUACUUGUUAAAUUCUUAAAGAAUUUGGUAGAUUUGCUAUAUUGUUAAGAGCAUGAUGCAUUUAUAGUNUUAGUUAGUUUGGUAGUUUGUUAAAUUCUUAAAGACUUAACUGAUUUGGUGGCUUAGUAGUUUUUUAAAUUGUUACCGACAUAAUUCAUUUGGUGGUUUGAUGGUUUGAUCGUUUGUUAAAUAAUUAAUAGUUAAUGACUUAAUGUGCUUGUGAAUUAAUUGUAGGAUGUUGAUGUGAAUGCUUUUCUUCAAAACUCGGCGUUUGUGACAACCAUUGGAGACAUUAUCUGCUUGUUUAAAAGCCACGUCAAUAAUGAAGAAAAGAACGAUGACGAAGACGCAUACACAUAGUAUUUCUUGUUUUGACUCUUUGUGGAUGGUGUUAUUUUGGAUUUAUUAGAUAGUUUAUGGAUGAUAUAUUAGAUGUGUAUUUGGGAUAUAUUAGAUAGUUUAUGUAAUAUGAUAUAUUUGAUGUUUUAUGUAAUGUGGUAUGUAUUUUUAUUAAAGAUGCAUUUUAUAAUAUAUAAAAACCAAUAUCAAAAAUAAAUUAUUAUUUUCCAAAAAAAAACCAUUAGCAACCACAUAUUUAGGCACGACAAUGAUCCAAUUGUGAUGACAACCGGUUGCGGGAAGUGUAGCCGAAGAAACUCUGACUAGUGGCCGGAAUACCAAUAGAGAUGACACCAACAACAACGAGAUUAACCAUUUAGCAACAACAUAUAUCAGAGGUGACACUAUUUGCGACGACAAAAGAGUAUUAGCUACGAGGUAAUAGCGACAUGUCAUCGCAAACGUAUUAGCGACGUCCAGGGGCAUCAAUUGUGACGCUUUUUGUCGUCGCUAAAGGUUACGUUUUUUGUUAUCCAACAACUAUGUCUUUCGAUUACACAACACACAUCUUGAGACACAUACUAUGUCUUUCUAUUACACAACACACAUCUUGAGACACAUAGUUAAAUUACCCCUCACAUUUAUAAUAAAAAAAUUGAAAAUACAUAAUAGAAUUUGGAAUAAGUUUCAUUUAUUGGAAGGCUAUUUCUCGUGUUUAGUACAAACAACAAUGCCAAAGCCUCGUGAAAUAUAUAAUGCUUUAGUUGCUGAGGUUGCUCUACAAACUCAUCACAUAGCCGACUCUGGUGGUGAUCCAGACACCAUUUAUUGGAUCGCAAUAUUUAAGAAGGUGUUGGGUACUCGUAGGGGGCAUGUGAGAGGCUUUGAGCCUAAACCUUCUUCAACAACGCGUACACGUGCUUCAUCCUAAUGGCGGUCACAGUCACAAGCACCGCAAGAACCACAACUACUUGUUAAAUUAUUAAAGAAUUUGGUAGCUUUGCUAUACUGUUAAGAGCAUUAUGCAUUUAUAAUAGUUUUUGGUAGUUUGGUAGUUUGUUAAAUUCUUAAAGACUUAACUGAUUUGGUGGCUUAGUAGUUUUUUAAUUUUUUACCGACAUAAUUCAUCUGGUGGUUUGAUGGUUUGAUAGUUUGUUAAAUAAUUAAUAGUUAAUGACUUAAUGUGCUUGUGAAUUAAUUGUAGGAUGUUGAUGUGAAUGUUUCUCUUCAAAACCCGGCGUUUGUGACAACCAUUGGAGACAUUAUCCGCUUGUUUAAAGGCACGUCAAUAAUGAAGAAAAGAACGAUGACGAAGACGCAGACACAUAGUAUUUCUUGUUUUGACCAUUUGUGGACGGUGUUAUUUUGGAUUUAUUAGAUAGUUUAUGGAUGAUAUAUUAGAUGUGUAUUUGGGAUAUAUUAGAUAGUUUAUGUAAUAUGAUAUAUUUGAUGUUUUAUGUAAUGUGGUAUGUAUUUUUAUUAAAGAUGCAUUUUAUAAUAUAUAAAAACCAAUAUCAUAAAUAAAUUAUUUUUUUCAAAAAAAAACCAUUAGCAGCCACAUAUUUAGGGACGACAAUGAUCCAAUUGUGAUGACAACCGGUUCCAUGAAGUGUAGCCGGAGUGACUCUGACUGGUGGCCGGAAUACCAAUAGAGACAACACCAACAACAACGAGAUUAACCAUUUAGCAACAACGUAUAUCAGAGGUGACACUAUUUGCGACGACAAAAGAGUAUUAGCUACGAGGUAAUAGCGACAACAUGUCAUCGAUAAAGGUAUUAGCGACAUCCAGGGGUAUCAAUUGCGAUGCUUUUUUUCAUCGCUAAAGGUUACGUUUUUUGUUAUGCAACAACUAUGUCUUUCUAUUACACAACACACAACUUGAGACACAUAGUUAAAUUACCCCUCACAUUUAUAACAAAAAAUUCAAAAUGCAUAAUAGAAUUUUGAAUAACUUUCAUUUAUUGGAAGGUUGUUUCUUGUGUUUAGUACAAACAACAAUGCCUAAGCCUUGUGAAAUAUAGNAGGUUGCUCUACAAACUCAUCACAUAGCCGACUCCGGUGGUGAUCCAGACACCAUUUAUUGGAUCGCAAUAUUUAAGAAGGUGUUGGGUACUCGUAGGGGGCAUGUGAGAGACAUUGAGCCUAAACCUUCUUCAUCAACGGGUACACGUGCUUCAUCCCAAUGGC
rnacentral:lncRNA from 1 species